GACAGAGGAUGCAAGCGUUAUCCGGAAUGAUUGGGCGUAAAGCGUCUGUAGGUGGCUUUUUAAAGUCCGCCGUCAAAUCCCAGGGCUCAACCCUGGACAGGCGGUGGGAAACUACCCAAGCUGGAGUACGGUAGGGGCAGAGGGAAUUCCGGUGGAGCGGUGAAAUGCGUAGAGAUACGGAAAGAAACACCCAACGGCGAAAGCACUCUGCUGGGCCGACACUGACACUGAGAGACGAAAGCUAGGGGAGCGAAUGGG
rnacentral:rRNA from 1 species